AUUGAACGCUAGCGGGAGGCCUAACACAUGCAAGUCGAGCGCGCGGCGGACGGGGGAGGAAUGUAUGGGGGACGACCGAUAGAGGGGGAGAAAUACUGGAAACGGUAGAUAAUACAUCAUACUAUCGGGUAACCCAUAUGGGAUUAGCGCGUGGGUGAGGUAAUGUCUCACCUAGGCGACGAUCCCUAGCUGGUCUGAGAGGAGGAACAGCCACACUGGGACUGAGACACGGCCCAGACUCCUACGGAGGCAGCAGUGGGGAAUAUUGCACAAUGGGCGAAAGCCUGAUGCAGCCAUCCCGCGUGUAUGAAGAAGGCCCUAGGGUUGUAAAGUACUUUCAGUCGGGAGGCGUUACCGGCAGAAGAAGCACCGGCUAACUCCGUGCCAGCAGCCGCGGUAAUUC
rnacentral:rRNA from 1 species